CAUUGUGUGUGCUGUAUCCACCUGGGAAAAUAUGAAGAUAAGGAUGCUCAUUGUGCCUUCAGUAAUAAAGUCUUUUCUCUUUGAUCUAGGAGUCCAGUGUCUUCAGCCCAUCACGUUGAAGCUGUGGGGGCUAAUAUGUUAGCUUGCAAGUGGCUUAAUAUCUCAUAGUCUUCAUUCUUGAUAAAGCUUCCCUAGUUUCUCAUGGGAGAAGGGCCUACUGGGAUUAUGGAGUCAGAGAAAGUGAUGCACAGAGUUAGUCAUUGGAAGCUGCACACAUUCUAAAUCCAGCAAUCACUGUCCUGAGUGAACAUGAAGUUCUGCAAUUACUCAGUGAUCACAAAGGUCCUCAAAGCUAACACUACUCACGAAGAUGGUGUGAGUUACAUUGGCUGACAAGCUCCAGCCAUGGACGCAAUUCCUUCUAGAAGCAAAAUUUAUCUCUAGACUCCUCCUGUAUUUUAAUUUAGCCACUUUUUUAGGGCCUACAAUUUUAGAUCUCCACAGGGCUCUUGAAACUUCUUGAACCUCAUCAGUAACAUGUCCAUUAGUGGCAUGACCCAAGAGUUCUAGAACAUCUAUUCAGCAAGUGUGUAUCUGAAAACUGAUCACCUCUGAUGAAUUAGAACGGAAUGACCAAGCUUUGGGAGAGGCAAAAGAAUUUCGGUGUUAAAGACUCAGAGUUUAAGAAGCAACAAAAAGAUUAUACAGAUGUGAAUAUGUGACCUUCCUCCACCAGGGCAUGUUGCCUUGGAAAAAAAUUUGCCUGCUCUGCUCAGGACCAUCACUCUGCCUGCCUGGGGCGGAACUGGAUUUUUUCCCCUGGAUUCUUUUCUUGUUGGGAGUGAGUGCAAAGCCUUCCAUCUAUCCCUGGCUACAAGCUGAAAGGCUGGGCACAGUUAAAAGUUUCUACUUUGCUUCAGGGUGUAAAUCUGGGUCCAUACAGGUGCUCUCCGCUGUAUGGUAGGCUACUUGAGGGGCCAUGAGCUUUCUUCUCCAUUUUCUCAACUUUGGCCAGAAACACAGCCAGAAAGAACGAUGAAGCUCAAAGAGUUUCAAGAUUCAAAGUCUUCCAGGUCAAUAUUCAAACACAGGUAUAUUUGCUUCCAAAAUCUAUGUAUUUUCUACAACAUAAAGCAGCCUCCUUAAUAUUUUACUGCUCUUCACUCAAGA
rnacentral:lncRNA from 10 species